ACCCUCUCGGGGUCAAACCUGGAGAAUUUCCAGUACUCUACCAGUCUCGACUACAGGAGGGAGAGUCAAGCAGAGGCCUAUCCAUUCCAUUCCUCACUUGGGCAGUGGCUAGAGAGUGGAAGGCAAUCUGCUACAAGG